CCUACGGGAGGCAGCAGUGAGGAAUAUUGGUCAAUGGACGAGAGUCUGACCCAGCCAAGUCGCGUGAAGGAUGACUGCCCUAUGGGUUGUAAACUUCUUUUAUAUGGGACUAAAAUGUUCCACGUGUGGGUUUUUGUAUGUACCUUAUGAAUAAGGAUCGGCUACCUCCGUGCCAGCAGCCGCGGUAAUACGGAGGGUCCGAGCGUUCUCCGGAUUUAUUGGGUUUAAAGGGAGCGUAGGUGGAUUGUUAAGUCAGUUGUGAAAGUUUGCGGCUCAACCGUGAAAUUGCAGUUGAAACUGGCAGUCUUGAGUACAGUAGAGGAGAGCGGAAUUCGUGGUGUAGCGGUGAAAUGCUUAGAUAUCACGAAGAACUCCGAUUGCGAAGGCAGUUCACUGGACUGCAACUGACACUGAGGCUCGAAAGUGUGGGUAUCAAACAGGAUUAGAUACCCCAGUAGUC
rnacentral:rRNA from 1 species